UACGGAGGGUGCGAGCGUUGUCCGGAAUCACUGGGCGUAAAGGGCGCGUAGGCGGCCUGAUAAGUAGGAGGUGAAAUCCUGCGGCUUAACCGCAGGGCUGCCUUCUAAACUGCCAGGCUCGAGCACAGUAGAGGCAGGUGGAAUUCCCGGUGUAGCGGUGGAAUGCGUAGAGAUCGGGAAGAACAUCGGUGGCGAAGGCGGCCUGCUGGGCUGUUGCUGACGCUGAGGCGCGACAGCGUGGGGAGCAAACAGG
rnacentral:rRNA from 1 species